rnacentral:rRNA from 1 species
AUGGUUGAGGCGGCAGCUGUAGUGGCAGAGGAGGAGCAUGACGCGGCGGUGCGGGAGUACGACGACGUCCGCGACCGCAGCGGCGUGGAGGAGGUGGAGCGGGAGUGCGAGGUGGGGUCCAGUGGCGGCGGCGGCGGCGAGAUGUGCCUCUUCACGGACCUCCUCGGCGACCCGCUCUGCCGCAUUCGCAACUCGCCGGACUUCCUCAUGCUGGUCGCGGAGACAGCAACCGGCAGCGGCGGCGGCGGCGGCGCGGAGAUAAUCGGCCUCGUCCGCGGCUGCGUCAAGUCCGUCGUCUCCGGCGGCUCCCACUCCAAGGACCCCAUCUACACCAAGGUCGCCUACAUCCUCGGCCUCCGCGUCUCACCCAAUCAUCGGAGGAAAGGGGUGGGGAGGAAGCUCGUGGAGAGGAUGGAGCAAUGGUUCCGGCAGAAGGGCGCGGAGUACUCGUACAUGGCGACGGAGCAGGACAACGAGGCCUCCGUGCGCCUCUUCACCUCCCGCUGCGGCUACUCCAAGUUCCGCACGCCGUCGUUGCUCGUGCACCCGGUGUUCCGCCACGCCCUCAAGCCCUCGCGCCGCGCGUCCAUCGUGCGCCUCGAGCCCCGCGACGCCGAGCGCCUCUAUCGCUGGCACUUUGCCGCCGUCGAGUUCUUCCCCGCCGACAUAGACGCCGUGCUGUCCAACGCCCUGUCGCUCGGCACGUUCCUGGCACUGCCGGCGGGCACGAGUUGGGACGGGGACGUCGAGGCGUUCCUGGCCGCGCCGCCGGCUUCGUGGGCGGUGCUGAGCGUGUGGAACUGCAUGGACGCCUUCCGCCUCGAGGUACGUGGCGCACCCCGCCUGAUGCGCGCCGCGGCCGGCGCAACGCGGCUGGUGGACCGAGCGGCGCCGUGGCUCAGGAUACCCUCCAUCCCGAACCUCUUCGCGCCGUUCGGGCUCUACUUCCUCUACGGCCUGGGCGGCGCCGGGCCGGAGGCGCCGCGGCUGGUGCGCGCGCUGUGCCGGCACGCGCACAACAUGGCCCGACGCGGCGGGUGCGGCGUGGUGGCCACCGAGGUCGCCGCCCUCGAGCCCGUCCGCGCCGGGGUGCCGCACUGGGCGCGCCUCGGCGCCGAGGACCUCUGGUGCAUCAAGCGGCUCGCCGACGGCUACAACCACGGGCUGCUCGGCGACUGGACGAAGGCGCCGCCCGGGAGCUCCAUCUUCGUCGACCCCAGAGAGUUUUAG